rnacentral:lncRNA from 1 species
GGGUUUUUCCAAUAGCAUAUUUGAAAUAUGAUUUAGGUUAGCCAGAUACCAUUUUUACCAAAGCUGUAGCAAACAUUCGCAAUUUAUGGAACCCAACUUCACUUCUAGCCCUGGCCCAGCAGGCUGGGCACCAGGAUUCCGCCUUCCAUGAGCAAUGAGGGCUAGGGUGGCCUGCCAGAGAGGAGUAAGUUCUAUGGUGAAGGAAGUCACAAAGUAAAUGCUAGAGAGGCUAACAAAAGUUG